rfam:Monoraphidium neglectum strain SAG 48.87 mitochondrion, whole genome shotgun sequence.
GCUGAGAUAGCUCAGAGGUAGAGCAAAGGAUUGAAAAUCCUUGGGUCGUCCGUUCAAUCCGGACUCUUGGCA